AGGAUGAACGCUGGCGGCGUGCUUAACACAUGCAAGUCGAACGAAGCAUUUACGACAGAUUUCUUCGGAUUGAAGUUGUUUAUGACUGAGUGGCGAACGGGUGAGUAACGCGUGAGGAACCUGCCUCAAAGAGGGGGGACAACAGUUGGAAACGACUGCUAAUACCGCAUAAGCCCACGGGUCGGCAUCGACCAGAGGGAAAAGGAGCAAUCCGCUUUGAGAUGGCCUCGCGUCCGAUUAGCUAGUUGGUAAGGUAACGGCUUACCAAGGCGACGAUCAGUAGCCGACCUGAGAGGGUGAUCGGCCACAUUGGAACUGAGACACGGUCCAAACUCCUACGGGAGGCAGCAGUGGGGAAUAUUGCACAAUGGGCGAAAGCCUGAUGCAGCAACGCCGCGUGAGCGAUGAAGGCCUUCGGGUCGUAAAGCUCUGUCCUCAAGGAAGAUAAUGACGGUACUUGAGGAGGAAGCCCCGGCUAACUACGUG
rnacentral:rRNA from 1 species